CUUCGAAGGUUCUCUUCGAAGAUCCAUGGAUACCUUAUGUGCGUCGACCUCUCGUCUCUUUCACCGCUCUCGGUCGUUCUCGAAACGUGCUUCCUACCCAUAGGGCGUGUGCUCUUCGUAUGUCGUUUUGUUCGAAAUAACGAAACCACUUGUAACAUACUCGUGGAUCGGGUAACCUAGAACGAAAACGCAUUGCGUGGAUGUUGGCCCGCUAUGAUAAUGAUAUAAUGAUGAUGAUGAUGAUGAUGAUGACGAUGACUAUGAUGACGAUGCGUAGCAACGAUUCGUAACUAGUCUAGCCGAAGUUGGUUCGGAGGGGACCGCAGGCUGUCUAUCCUCGAUGUCGUGAGUCGGACACCCGUGCCGUCGCUAGAGCUUUUUCAAAGCUCGGCUUCUGGAUAUUGGGAAGAAAGACCGCUCGAGGACGACGGCUGCGCGUGCGUCCCAUCGAAUUUUUUUUUAUACCACCUGAACGACUAAAGUUUCGUCUAGUUCGUUGCCUACCGUCGCAUAUAAUCCCGUUCAGAGGGGACCGCAGACUGUCUAUCCUCGUUGUCGUGAGUCGGACACCCGUGCCGUCGCUAGAGUUUUUUCAAAGCUCGGCUUCUGGAUAUUGGGAAGAAAGACCGCGCGAGGCCGAGGGUCGCGCGAGUCCCAUCGAAUCUUUACAUCACCCGAACGAUGGAGGCGCACGCUCUUUUUCUUGAAUAAUUGGACGAGAGGAAUGCGUAGUAUCGUAUUAUAUACACACACACACAUAUAUAUAUAUAUAUAUAUGGGCUAGCCACCGUGCGUAUUUCUUCGCGAGAUCGUGUGCUGAACAGAGGAUUCAGAAUCGGGUGUUAUAUCCCCGUCGUUUCCUGACGAACGGAGCUUCGAUCUCG
rnacentral:misc_RNA from 1 species